rnacentral:rRNA from 1 species
UACGUAGGGUGCGAGCGUUGAUCGGAAUUACUGGGCGUAAAGGGCGCGUAGGCGGUUAAAUAAGUCAGAUGUGAAAUUCCGGGGCUCAACCCCGGAGCUGCAUUUGAAACUGUAUAGCUAGAGUUCAGUUAGGGUAAACGGAAUUCCACGUGUAGCGGUGAAAUGCGUAGAUGUGUGGAAGAACACCGGUGGUGAAGACGGUUUACUGGGCUGAUACUGACGCUGAGGCGCGAAAGCAUGGGGAGCAAACAGG